rnacentral:rRNA from 1 species
CAGUCGCCGCGGUAAUACGUAGGUGGCAAGCGUUGUCCGGAAUUAUUGGGCGUAAAGGGCUCGCAGGCGGUUUCUUAAGUCUGAUGUGAAAGCCCCCGGCUCAACCGGGGAGGGUCAUUGGAAACUGGGAGACUUGAGUGCAGAAGAGGAGAGUGGAAUUCCACGUGUAGCGGUGAAAUGCGUAGAGAUGUGGAGGAACACCAGUGGCGAAGGCGACUCUCAGGUCUGUAACUGACGCUGAGGAGCGAAAGCGUGGGGAGCGAACAGGAUUAGAUACCCCUGUAGUCCCUGUCUCUUAUAC